GACAAGGAAGACUAGUGUUAUUCAUCUUUAUUAGGUAUAUAGGGUACCUAGACAGUUUAUCAGGCCUUAAAAAGGUACGGAUAAAACUAGAGUUUAUGUGAGAGGGAGAUAUCAGAAUUAUUGGUGUAGAGAUGAAAUGUUUUGAAUACUAAUAAGACGGGUAAUAGGCGAAGGCAAAACCUUUAUUGUUAAAACUGACGUUGAGGGACGAAGGCUUGGGAAGCGAAGAGG
rnacentral:rRNA from 1 species